UUACUCCUAGUGGCGCAGCUAACGCUUUUAAGCAUUCCGCCUGGGGAGUACGGUCCGCAAGAUUAAAACUCAAAGGAAUUGACGGGGGCCCGCACAAGCGGUGGAGCAUGUGGUUUAAUUCGACGCAACGCGCAGAACCUUACCAGCCCUUGACAUGUCCAGGGACCGGUCGCAKAKACGUGACCUUCUCUUCGGAGCCUGGAGCACAGGUGCUGCAUGGCUGUCGUCAGCUCGUGUCGUAGAUGUUGGGUUAAGUCCCGCAACGAGCGCAACCCCCGUCCUUAGUUGCUACCAUUUAGUUGAGCACUCUAAGGAGACUGCCGGUGAUAAGCCGCGAGGAAGGUGGGGAUGACGUCAAGUCCUCAUGGCCCUUACGGGCUGGGCUACACACGUGCUACAAUGGCGGUGACAAUGGGAAGCUAAGGGGUGACCCUUCGCAAAUCUCAAAAAGCCGUCUCAGUUCGGAUUGGGCUCUGCAACUCGAGCCCAUGAAGUUGGAAUCGCUAGUAAUCGUGGAUCAGCAUGCCACGGUGAAUACGUUCCCGGGCCUUGUACACACCGCCCGUCACACCAUGGGAGUUGGCUUUACCUGAAGACGGUGCGCUAACCAGCAAUGGGGGCAUCCGGCCACGGUUUGUCACGGAUGGGGGAGGAA
rnacentral:rRNA from 1 species